rnacentral:rRNA from 1 species
GGGGAAUAUUGCACAAUGGGGGAAACCCUGAUGCAGCCAUGCCGCGUGUGUGAAGAAGGCCUUCGGGUUGUAAAGCACUUUCAGCGAGGAGGAAAGGUCAGUAGCUAAUACCUGCUGGCUGUGACGUUACUCGCAGAAGAAGCACCGGCUAACUCCGUGCCAGCAGCCGCGGUAAUACGGAGGGUGCAAGCGUUAAUCGGAAUUACUGGGCGUAAAGCGCACGCAGGCGGUUGGAUAAGUUAGAUGUGAAAGCCCCGGGCUCAACCUGGGAAUUGCAUUUAAAACUGUCCAGCUAGAGUCUUGUAGAGGGGGGUAGAAUUCCAGGUGUAGCGGUGAAAUGCGUAGAGAUCUGGAGGAAUACCGGUGGCGAAGGCGGCCCCCUGGACAAAGACUGACGCUCAGGUGCGAAAGCGUGGGGAGCAAAC